CCCCCAGCAGCUAGCCAUGGUGUAAUAGCCAUUGAAAGUCCCACCACAAGAAAUAACAAAGAUGAUAGCUGGGGAGACAUUAUACCCUGAUUAACAGCUUCACCAAAAGCCACAAAUGCAAACUCUCCACCCGGCGCAAGAAGAAGACCAACCCUUAUUGCAGAUAUGAUUGAAAUACCAAAAAGUCUACCAACCAAAGCAACUAACAAAGUCUUGCCACCAAUUAAGAGUCCCAAUGUCCCCAUAAUGACCGGAAAAUUUGAAACAAGAAGCUUUGGAUCAAUGGACAUUCCAACCGUCAUGAAGAAGAGACCCAAUAGAAGGCCACGAUAUGGAGCAAUAUCCGAUUCAACCUGCAAGGAAAAUUCAGUUUCUGCAAGGAGCAAACCAGCCAGAAAUGCUCCCAGGGCCAUGGAAAGUCCAGCCCUGGCUGUAAGGAGACUAGUCCCCAGAAUAACAAGAAGUGUAUUCGCUGAGAAUAUCUCUGCAUUUUGAUUUUCUGCAAUUUGUUUAUAAAUUGGCCGAAGCAGCAAGCGUCCACCAGCAAUUAUAGCAGUAAUGGCAAGCGCUGCCUUAACAGCAGCCAGCCCAAGAGCUUCAGCAAUGGCUUGAAAACCAACCCCGCCUUUGGACGAAUUAGGUGAAAUAAGAGGUAUGAGUAUUAGCAACACCACAACAGCCAAAUCCUGGAAUAGUAAGACAGAGAAUGUAGCACGCCCAUGGCGCGAUGUGCUCUCACCUCGCUCCUGUAACACCUGCAGGACAACAGCAGUGGAAGACAAAGCAAGCCCAUUCCCGAUGACUAUGGCAGCAGGACCAGGCAGCCGAGAUACAUAAUGAGAGGCCAAGCCAACAACCACCGCUGUCACCAAGACCUGAGCAGAACCUAAUCCAAAAACAUAUUUCUUCAUGGAACUAAGCCUUUCAACAGAAAGCUCCAGGCCAAUAUUAAAUAACAAGAAAACAACUCCAAAUUCAGCAAUUGCCUUUGU
rnacentral:misc_RNA from 1 species